rnacentral:rRNA from 1 species
UACGUAGGUGACAAGCGUUGUCCCGGAUUUACUGGGCGUAAAGAGCGCGCAGGCGGUCGAUCAAGUCGAGUGUGAAAGCCCCCGGCUCAACUGGGGAGGGUCAUUCGAUACUGAUCGACUCGAAGGCAGGAGAGGGUAGUGGAAUUCCCGGUGUAGUGGUGAAAUGCGUAGAUAUCGGGAGGAACACCAGUGGCGAAGGCCGACUACCUGGCCUGUUCUUGCGCUGAGGCGCGAAAGCUAGGGAGCAACGGG